rnacentral:rRNA from 1 species
UGGGGAAUAUUGCACAAUGGGCGCAAGCCUGAUGCAGCCAUGCCGCGUGUGUGAAGAGGCCUUCGGGUUGUAAAGCACUUUCAGCGAGGAGGAAGGUGUGAACUUAAUACGUCAUCAAUUGACGUUACUCGCAGAAGAAGCACCGGCUAACUCCGUGCCAGCAGCCGCGGUAAUACGGAGGGUGCAAGCGUUAAUCGGAAUUACUGGGCGUAAAGCGCACGCAGGCGGUUUGUUAAGUCAGAUGUGAAAUCCCCGGGCUCAACCUGGGAACUGCAUUUGAAACUGGCAAGCUAGAGUCUCGUAGAGGGGGGUAGAAUUCCAGGUGUAGCGGUGAAAUGCGUAGAGAUCUGGAGGAAUACCGGUGGCGAAGGCGGCCCCCUGGACGAAGACUGACGCUCAGGUGCGAAAGCGUGGGGAGCAAACAGGAUUAGAUACCCCUGG